rnacentral:lncRNA from 1 species
GCGAGUGAAACAGUGCAGUGGCUUAAGAUAGUUCUCUUUAGUUUUCCCAUGAUUUAUCACAAGCAAGUUCACAGCAGCGACGACACAGUUGAAAUAACUCCUUCGUGGAGGCUGGCUACAUUUUCACAACGUCUGGUCCCAAGCUAGAUCUUCGGGAAAAGGGAUCAAGGAAAUGACUAUUCCUCCAAAUAAAAUACAGAGUCUCACACUGUCACCUAAGCUGGAGUGGAGUGCAGUGGCACAAUCACAGCUCACUGCAGCCUCAACCUCCCAGGCUCAAGCACUCCCCCCACCUCAGCCUCCUGAGUAGCUAGGACUACAAGCACGCACUACCAUGCCCAGCUAAUUUUUGUAAUUUUCGCAGAGACAGAGUUUUGCCAUGUUACCCAGGCUGGUGUCAAACUCCUGAGCUCAAGUGACUGUGCAACUCAGCAUCCCAAAGUGCUGGGAUUAGAGGCAUGAGCCACCACGCCUGGCCCAGUCUAUAGAUUCUCCUUCCUUCCUUCCUUCCUUCCUUCCUUCCUUCCUUCCUUCCUUCCUUCCUCCCUCCCUCCCUCCCUCCCUCCCUCCCUUCUUCCCUCUCUCCCUCCCUCCCUUCCCCACCCGCAUUCCUUCCUUCCUUCCUUCCUCUCUUCCUCCCUUCCUCCUUUUCUUCCUUCCUCUCUUUCCUUCUUCUACUUGUCUGGUUUUAGAAUCAGAGUUAUGAUGAUCUCAUAAAUUGAGUUGGGAAGUGUUUUCUCUUCUACAUUUUAGAAGAGAUAUUGUAGAAUUGAUGUUCUUUUAAAAUGUUUAAUAAAAUUAUUCAUAAAU